ensembl:lncRNA
GACAGGGUCCACGUCAUGUCUGUCUGGUUUCAAGGUAUAAUAUUGUCCAUCAUGUACCCUGCAUUGAGGCAAAUUGAAGGAGUAGUCUAGCAUCUGCAACUGAAAUUUAGGGAUGGCACUGACAAAUACCUGUAAAAACUGAAAAUUCCUUAUCAGACUUGCAAGGCAGUGACAGAGUCCAGUGGUACAAAGGGUGGGUAUAGUUAGUGAUGGGUCACAUAGUUCAGCAGGGUUACAGUUGAUGGAAAGAAACUGUUCCUGAGCCUGCUGGUGUGGGAACGAAGAGACCUGUACCGCUUGCCUGAUGGUAGGAGGGCAAACAGUGUGUGGCAUGGAUGUGACAUUUCCCUGAUUAUGCUUCGCGCCCUGUGGAGCUUAAGCUGGAAGUCUAUGAUAGCUGGGUACCAGGGAUGUGCUGGACAGUUUUUACCACCCAUUGCCGUCAGAAAGCUCUCGAUUUUUCAGCGGUUAAAGUACACAAGGAUCUUGGGAGACAGGCGGGCCUUCUCCAGCCUCCUCAAAAAGUACUGGUGCUGCAGCGCCUUUUGACCAGGGCUGAGUUGUUGAGCGACCAGGAAAGGUCUUCUGAGAUGUGGACACCCAGGAAUUUGAAAAAUGAGAUAAAUUAGUUGUGCUUUAUUUCACCAGGUUCCACAUUGCCUCAAACAAAUGUAAACAAAUAUAUCCUCUCUGAGGGGCUGAUGGCUCUUUUCUUCAUGAAAGUAAUUGGGCUACUAGCUUGACCGUCAUGAAGGAGAAGACACAAUUCUUAAAGUAAGUACGAUACAAUAUUCCUUCAGCCAUCAUUGAGUUUAUAUGUUUUCCCAUGUUCUAUGUUUUUAAUUUGAACAAACAUGAAAAGAAACCGACAGAGAAUGAAAAUCAUCUGCAUGCUUAGAAAGAAACUAAGGCACACACGCACACAGUAUAUCUGUGUGAAUCUACACCACACGGACAUCAGACAAUGAUGAUAGUUGAUGUCUCCUCUUGGUGUAAUCUAUAUAUCCAACCAUCACAAUUGGUGAUAUCGAACCGUAGGUCAGUAAGUUCCUUUUUUAAAUCCUCUCUAGUUCUCUUUAGAUCAAUAUAGAGAAUAAUCAUGCUCACACACGCUCGCACACACAGUUAUUAUGGUGCAAAUUAGUCUCUCGGGAUAAGAAUCUGCCAAAUUACUUAAAGGUAAAAUUGAAAUAAAAAAGCACCUUUUUCCACAUUAAAUACACCAAAACUGGAACUCUCCAUUUCUGAAUCUUUGUAUCUGAAAGCUUUAGGUGUUGAAGUAAUGAACCACAUGGUGUUUUUUCUUACAGGGAGGAAAUGAUCAAGUGGAUACUUCAACAGUUGAAGAAACAACCUACUCAGUUGUUCGUGUUUGAUAACCCACUGAAAAUGAUCAUAGUCACAGUUUAUAAAAUUUACUAUUUAGGUCCUAAACAUUUCAUACAUGUAAACUUGUGUUUUCGAAUGGCGUCUAUCUGCCUCUCUUUUAGUAGAUUUUCUGAGGCUUAUGCCAGAGUGCGUAAGCGGAGCCGGCCAAGAAGAGCGAAUGUCUCUCACUGAGUGAGUGAUGUUGUGGAAAUUCUGAAACCUGAUGCAUUCUUACUGUUUAAAGGACUGAGUCCCAUUGUUUGGAUGUGAGAAUGAAUGAGUUACUAGUUAGAGAUGCUGAGAGGGAUUUGGUAUUUGUCCUAGGGGGGCAUCCUUGACCGGCACCAGCAGAUUGUAGGGUUAAUCGUAAAUCUGCCCAUCUGUAUAAAUCCCUUUAGUGUCUCUGUUGUUUGUCCAGGUGCUGUGAGUCUGCUCCUAGAGUUGAUGAG